GACGAACGCUGGCGGCGUGCUUAACACAUGCAAGUCGAACGGAAAGGCCCUGCUUUUGUGGGGUGCUCGAGUGGCGAACGGGUGCGUAACACGUGAGUAACCUGCCCCUGACUUUGGGAUAACUUCAGGAAACUGGGGCUAAUACUGGAUAGGAGCUCCUGCUGCAUGGUGGGGGUUGGAAAGUUUCGGCGGUUGGGGAUGGACUCGCGGCUUAUCAGCUUGUUGGUGGGGUAGUGGCUUACCAAGGCUUUGACGGGUAGCCGGCCUGAGAGGGUGACCGGCCACAUUGGGACUGAGACACGGCCCAGACUCCAACGGGGGGCAGCGGUGGGGAAUAUUGCACAAGGGGCGGAAGCCUGAUGCAGCAACGCCGCGUGCGGGAUGACGGCCUUCGGGUUGAAAACCGCUUUCGCCUGUGACGAAGCGUGAGUGACGGUAAUGGGUAAAGAAGCACCGGCUAACUACGUG
rnacentral:rRNA from 1 species